rnacentral:rRNA from 1 species
CCCUUAGAUGUUCUGGGCCGCACGCGUGCUACACUGAACGGUUCAAUGGGUAAGGUAGUGCGAAAGCAUGACCUAAUCUCGAAAUCCGUUCGUGCUGGGGAUAGAAGCUUGCAAUUAUCCUUCUUGAACGAGGAAUACCUUGUAAGCGUGAGUCAUCAUCUCACGCUGAAUACGUCCCUGCCCUUUGUACACACCGCCCGUCGCUACUACCGAUUGAAUGGUUUAGUGAGAUCUUCGGAUUGGCGCCUACGCGGCUUCUCUGAGGCCACGCUGGAUGCCGAAAAGUUGCUCAAACUGUAUCAUUUAGAGGAAGUAAAAGUCGUAACA